AUUGAACGCUGGCGGCAGGCUUAACACAUGCAAGUCGAGCGGAGAGAGGUAGCUUGGUACUGAUCUUAGCGGCGGACGGGUGAGUAAUGCUUAGGAAUCUGCCUAUUAGUGGGGGACAACAUUUCGAAAGGAAUGCUAAUACCGCAUACGUCCUACGGGAGAAAGCAGGGGAUCUUCGGACCUUGCGCUAAUAGAUGAGCCUAAGUCGGAUUAGCUAGUUGGUGGGGUAAAGGCCUACCAAGGCGACGAUCUGUAGCGGGUCUGAGAGGAUGAUCCGCCACACUGGGACUGAGAAACGGCCCAGACUCCUACGGGAGGCAGCAGUGGGGAAUAUUGGACAAUGGGCGGAAGCCUGAUCCAGCCAUGCCGCGUGUGUGAAGAAGGCCUUAUGGUUGUAAAGCACUUUAAGCGAGGAGGAGGCUACUUUAGUUAAUACCUAGAGAUAGUGGACGUUACUCGCAGAAUAAGCACCGGCUAACUCUGUGCCAGCCGCCGCAGUAA
rnacentral:rRNA from 1 species